UCAUGCCGCGCGUGAUCAAAGUGAAAAACUUGGCUCCCUGUGAUCUCCAUCACGCGGCACGUGAUGGGCUACGCCCCCAGCGUAGUGAAAAUCAGCAAUUUCCUACAAUUUUUCAUGUUUUCUUGCAAAACAAGUAAUCAAGCUUAUGAUUAGAUUUCUCUUACAUUUAUUGCUUAAAACCUACUAAAAUGCAUUUAAUGUUGCUAAAAUAGGCAUGGAUUAGAUAGUGUGACGAUCCGUC
rnacentral:lncRNA from 1 species